AAAAACAUGUCUUUUUGUUAAUAAUUUAAAGUCUAAUCUGCCCACUGAUAAAAAAUUAAAGGGCUGCAGUAUUUUGACUGUACAAAGGUAGCAUAAUCAAUAGUUUCUUAAUUGGAAACUUGUAUGAAAGAUUUGAUGAAAUAAUAACUGUCUCUUAAUUAUUUUUAAAAAUUUAUUUUUUAGUUAAAAAGCUAAAAUAAUUUUAAAAGACGAGAAGACCCUAUAGAGUUUUAUAUUUAAUUUUAUAUUUAAAAUUUAUAAAUUUUAUUUAUAAUAUAAAUUUAAAUAUUAUAUUGGGGUGAUAGAAAAAUUUAUAUAACUUUUUUUUAUACAAAACAUUAAUAUAUGAAUAAAUGAUCCAUAAAUUUAUGAUUAAAAGAAAAAAUUACCUUAGGGAUAACAGCGUAAUAUUAUUUUUUAGUUCAAAUAAAAAAUAAAGUUUGCGACCUCGAUGUUGGAUUAAGAUAAAAUUAAAAUGCAAAAGUUUAAAAUGUUGAUCUGUUCGAUCAUUAAAAUCUUACAUGAUCUGAGUC
rnacentral:rRNA from 1 species